rnacentral:rRNA from 1 species
UACGUAGGGACCAAGCGUUGUUCGGAUUUACUGGGCGUAAAGGGCGCGUAGGCGGCGCGGUAAGUCACUUGUGAAAUCUCUGAGCUUAACUCAGAACGGCCAAGUGAUACUGCAGUGCUAGAGUGCAGAAAGGGCAAUCGGAAGUUCUUGGUGUAGCGGUGAAAUGCGUAGAUAUCAAGAGGAACACCUGAGGCGAAGGCGGGUUGCUAGGCUGACACUGACGCUGAGUGCGCGAAAGCCAGGGGAGCAAACGGG